UUGCUAUCUGCGAUAUGGAAGAUUCGAACCUGCCGCAGGUUCGGGUCGAACGCAAUGAGACAACGGAGCCGUUUACGGCGACGGCCCGAAGGGCGAGCGAAGCGAGUCAUCCUGCACGACCCACCA
rnacentral:sRNA from 3 species